rnacentral:rRNA from 1 species
AGAGUUUGAUCCUGGCUCAGGACGAACGCUGGCGGCGUGCCUAAUACAUGCAAGUCGAGCGGACUUGUUAGAAGCUUGCUUCUAACAAGUUAGCGGCGGACGGGUGAGUAACACGUGGGUAACCUGCCUGUAAGAUGGGGAUAACUCCGGGAAACCGGAGCUAAUACCGAAUAACACUUUCGCUCGCAUGAGCGGAUGUUAAAAGACGGUUUCGGCUGUCACUUACAGAUGGACCCGCGGCGCAUUAGCUAGUUGGUGAGGUAACGGCUCACCAAGGCGACGAUGCGUAGCCGACCUGAGAGGGUGAUCGGCCACACUGGGACUGAGACACGGCCCAGACUCCUACGGGAGGCAGCAGUAGGGAAUCUUCCGCAAUGGACGAAAGUCUGACGGAGCAACGCCGCGUGAGUGAUGAAGGUUUUCGGAUCGUAAAACUCUGUUGUUAGGGAAGAACAAGUACGAGAGUAACUGCUCGUACCUUGACGGUACCUAACCAGAAAGCCACGGCUAACUACGUGCCAGCAGCCGCGGUAAUACGUAGGUGGCAAGCGUUGUCCGGAAUUAUUGGGCGUAAAGCGCGCGCAGGCGGUUCCUUAAGUCUGAUGUGAAAGCCCACGGCUCAACCGUGGAGGGUCAUUGGAAACUGGGGAACUUGAGUGCAGAAGAGGAAAGCGGAAUUCCACGUGUAGCGGUGAAAUGCGUAGAGAUGUGGAGGAACACCAGUGGCGAAGGCGGCUUUCUGGUCUGUAACUGACGCUGAGGCGCGAAAGCGUGGGGAGCAAACAGGAUUAGAUACCCUGGUAGUCCACGCCGUAAACGAUGAGUGCUAAGUGUUAGAGGGUUUCCGCCCUUUAGUGCUGCAGCUAACGCAUUAAGCACUCCGCCUGGGGAGUACGGCCGCAAGGCUGAAACUCAAAUGAAUUGACGG